UGUUCUGUGGCUUAGUUGGUUAAAGCGCCGGUCUAGCGAAUACGAAGUUGUUGGAUUGAAUCCCACCAGAACGC
rnacentral:tRNA from 1 species